CUUUUGCAGCCCGACUUGAGCGGAAAUCCUUUUGUGAGGAGGAACGACGAACAAAAGAUUGGGAGCGGAAGGCGGAAAUGUCU
rnacentral:sRNA from 1 species